CAAAACUAAACUCCACCCACAUAUCUACCUAAUUACAACCUAAAACCUAACCCUAGAGAACACCCAUCUAACCUAGAGCAGCCGCCCUCCACUCCCCUUCAUCAAAAUCGCCGUCGUCGCUCCCUUCCCCAUAUCCAUCUUCAAACUUGAACACACCCUAGCUGAAACCUAAUUGGAUACACCCAAAAAGACUCCAAGCCAUCAGCAGCCUGGACACCACCCAAUCUCCCAACGAAAAUGACGGGAUCUCCAAAAGCUUCAGUGGUUCUUGCUUCUUCAUCUUCGACCUCCAGUACAACAGCGACCCUGAGCUUCAGCCGUCGACCACUUUUGUGCACGCCUCUUUUCUGAUCUCUUACAAGAAAAGCAACCAUGAACACUAGAGAAACCUAAGACUCGAACCUCCAAAAACCGGCAGCAAAUCCUGCGACAAACCAACACAACCGCCCUUUACCUCACUAGAACCGCCGCCCACUAGCUGCUCACUACCACCGUCCACAAUACCAGCGACCCCUUUCUAUAAAACUCUUCACCCUUACACUAAAAACUAGUCGUUCCUCACCAUUCACGCAUACACAAAGCAUCAGAAACAGAGAGUGAACGAAAAGGAGUGGGGAUGGACUGAUCUGAUUACUACAAUAAUAAAUACCUAAAGUGUCUUAGCUUCAUUUGUUCUAUAUUAUUUUGAAAAAGGGAAAUCAAAAAAGAAACAGAGUUAAAGUUUUUUUUUGUCGGAGUUCAUUGCUUGAGCUUGUUUGGGUAUGAAUCGGUGUUGAUUUAAAUUUUCCGGUGCCGAUUUCUGAUCCCAUUUGAUUUUCUCUUUUCGGUGCCAAUUCGAGUUCCGUCGAGGUUCGAAUGUCAUCCGACGAGGUUCUAUCAUUUUGAGGUAUGGAUUUAUUUACCAAAACUCGAGCACGACAGAUACCCCGGGACCAUCACAUUUGGGAGCUGUUUGAGGAGACUUUUUAUUUUUGAGUCUGUUUUAUAUUAUUUUUUUGCUUUCUAGUCUUGUAUGAUAGUAUUCAGUAUUUUAGUUGGUGUAACAGUUUGUCGUAGUAUAGUUGAGUUUGUUAAGUCUCGCAUCAUCAUAUUUCUUGUUUUGUAUUUGAAAAACCAAAAAAAGUUAUAAAUGAAAAAUUCUAAAAGAUUUUUAGUUUA